rfam:Oryza barthii chromosome 7, whole genome shotgun sequence.
AAUAAACGUAGCCAUAAAUUUCCGUGUCCAAUUUUAAUCGUUCGUCUUAUUUGAUUUUUUUAUAGUUAGUAUUUUUAUUGUUAUUAGACUAUAAAACAUUAAUAGUACUUUAUACAUGACUUAUGUAUUUUAGUUUUUUCAAAAAAAAUAAAUAAGACAAACAAUUAAAGUUAGACACAUAAACUCAUGACUGCGUUUAUU